rnacentral:rRNA from 1 species
UACGUAGGGCGCAAGCGUUGUCCGGAAUUAUUGGGCGUAAAGAGCUCGUAGGCGGUUUGUCGCGUCUGCUGUGAAAUCCCGAGGCUCAACCUCGGGCUUGCAGUGGGUACGGGCAGACUAGAGUGCGGUAGGGGAGACUGGAAUUCCUGGUGUAGCGGUGGAAUGCGCAGAUAUCAGGAGGAACACCGAUGGCGAAGGCAGGUCC